rnacentral:lncRNA from 1 species
GGAACAGACGCUGUUGGAUUGUCGUGAGGGUGAAGGAGGCUCGUGUGGAUGACCACGCAGACCCAUGGCUCACGUGGGGCAGUGAUGGGAGUUUGGUGCCCCUUCUUCCUUGCCACAGUGAGAAGCAGAGCCUCGGGACUCAAUGCCAUCUUGGUGUAUGCCCCAGCAUGCAGACCCUGCCAUCACAUGGCUGACAGCCCACACGAGUGCUAUCAGAAAGCUGAGAUGGUGAACCUGUACUUGGAGGCCAUGCCUGCAGAGUCACAGCGGUGCAGAUCAGCUGAGAGAAUGGCCACUCUGGCCCUGGGAGGUCAGUGGGACAAGCUGUUUCCUGAUGGUCACAAGAUGGCUUCAGUGGCUCCAGAUGACACAUCCUCCCACAGCAACAUCCCAGCAGUGUCCAGGCCACCUUCCUAUGGCAUCUCCUUGGCCAGAACCCUAGCUGCAAGGGAGGCUGGGACAGGGAGUCUGGCUUUUCAGCCUAUGUGAGUGGGAGGCAGGUAAAGAUGAGUUGGGAAUGGCUGGUGUCUGGAUAACCCAUGGUGCCUUCCACGUUGCUCCACUAUGUGCUUCUGCUUUGGACCCUGCAUUCAAUUCUCCACCAGCUUCUCUCCAGAGCACUCUUGGUGAGGACAGCAACUGGUACCAGGGGAUACUACAGUAGAGCUGUUGGGAGUGCAGUGGCUGGAGCCUGACACCUGAGUUCAGAUCCUGGCUCCACUCCUCUGCUCUGGCUGAAUUAACAUCUCUGUACUUUGUUAUUAAAAAGGGGAUAAUAGUUCUUACCUGCCUCAGAAGGUUGUUUGAGAAUUCAAUGAGUUCAUAUAUGUGGAGCACUUAGAACACUGGUUGUCAAACUUGGCUGUGCCCUGGAAUCACAAGAGUAGUUUUAAAAAUUAAUGGUGCCGGCCCCACCUGCAAAGAAUCAGAUCUAACUAGUCAGAGGAGUGGCUUGGGCUUUGGAAUUUUUAAAGGCUCCCUAGUCAAUUCUAAUAUGCAGCUAAGAACACUCCUGGCACAGAGUAAGAUUCUAGUAACCUUAGCUCUGAUUGGUUUGUUCAUCAUUGUGAGGCCCAGCAUAUAGUAGGCCCUCAGGAGUUGUUUGUUGAAUGAAUGAAUGAAAGUUUUGAAGCAAGACGAGGUAGUUGACGUCUUUUGGUCCAGCCCUCUGGCCUUGGGAUUGCUGCUCUGCCCCUUCAGUCUGGCUUCCUUUGUAACCUCUCUGGAGGGCUCCAG